rnacentral:tRNA from 6 species
GGGGCGUUAGUUAAAUGGAUAUAACAUACCGCUACGGACGGUACAUUAUGGGUUCGAUUCCUAUACGCCCUACCA